UACGUAGGGCGCAAGCGUUAUCCGGAAUUAUUGGGCGUAAAGAGCUCGUAGGCGGUUUGUCGCGUCUGCCGUGAAAGUCCGGGGCUCAACUCCGGAUCUGCGGUGGGUACGGGCAGACUAGAGUGAUGUAGGGGAGACUGGAAUUCCUGGUGUAGCGGUGAAAUGCGCAGAUAUCAGGAGGAACACCGAUGGCGAAGGCAGGUCUCUGGGCCACUACUGACGCUGAGGCGCGAAAGCGUGGGGAGCAAACAGG
rnacentral:rRNA from 1 species